rnacentral:rRNA from 1 species
UAGGGAAUCUUCGGCAAUGGGGGGAACCCUGACCGAGCAACGCCGCGUGAGUGAAGAAGGUUUUCGGAUCGUAAAGCUCUGUUGUUAAGGAAGAACGAGUGUGAGAAUGGAAAGUUCAUACUGUGACGGUACUUAACCAGAAAGGGACGGCUAACUACGUGCCAGCAGCCGCGGUAAUACGUAGGUCCCGAGCGUUGUCCGGAUUUAUUGGGCGUAAAGCGAGCGCAGGCGGUUAGAUAAGUCUGAAGUUAAAGGCAGUGGCUCAACCAUUGUAGGCUUUGGAAACUGUUUAACUUGAGUGCAGAAGGGGAGGGUGGAAUUCCAUGUGUAGCGGUGAAAUGCGUAGAUAUAUGGAGGAACACCGGUGGCGAAAGCGGCACUAUGGUCUGUAACUGACGCUGAGGCUCGAAAGCGUGGGGAGCGAACAGG